rnacentral:snRNA from 1 species
GCUCGUUGCGGCAGUGAAUGCACUCAACGUGGAACGAUCCAGAGAAGACUAGCCUGUCCCCCGCCGCCGGGGCAAGGAUGACACCCAGAUUGCUGACGUGUUCUGUAU